rnacentral:rRNA from 1 species
AUGGCUGCGACGCCGGCGGACGCAAGCAGCAGCAGCAGCGAGGCCGUGGUGGGCGGCGAGAAGAGCAACAAGAUGAUCACGCUGAUCAGCUCCGACGGCGAGAGCUUCGAAGCCACGGAGGAGGCGGCGAAGAUGUCGGUGACCAUCAAGCACAUGAUCGAGGACGGCUGCGCCGACGACGGGAUCCCCCUCCCCAACGUCCCCGCCAAGAUCCUCUCCAUGGUCAUCGAGUACUGCAACAAGCACGCCGCCGACGCCGACGACACUAACAAGCACGUCGCCGACCCCGCCGACGCCGACGAGGACGACGACAAUAACAACAACAACGCCAGCGCCGGCGAGAAGGAUGACCUGAAGAGCUUCGACGCCAGCUUGGUCGCCGUCGACCAGGCCACGCUGUUCGACAUCAUCCUCGCCGCCAACUUUCUGAGCAUCAAGGGGCUCCUGGACCUCGCCUGCCAGAAGGUGGCCGACGACAUCAAGGACAAGUCGGUUGAGGAGGUGCGCGAGAUUUUCAAGAUCGAAAACGACUUCACCAAGGAAGAGGAGGAGGCCGUCAGAAAGGAAAACGCCUGGGCCUUCAACGAGUAG